GUAAAUCAAUCUACAACCGAAGUACAUCGACGUACAACAGAAGCAAAACAAGCAAAAACGAAUGAAUCAACAACAAUAGUCAUAGGAUUCUCGCAUGGUAUCAGCUGGUGGGCAGUUUUGCUGUUAUCAUGUCUUAUUUUCACUGUUAUCUUCGCUGUUGUUCUAUUCAGCCGCUAUAUUGGUAAUCCACGCAUUCCUGCGUGGUUCACGCGUCUUUGCAAUGCUGGAAGAUGCUGAAGGAUUAGAUGUAGAUUUAUUACAAAAAACUAUAGUUGAGUUAUAUUAUAGAGCUGCAUUUGACUUGAAAUUUUAUAUUCUGACUCCUCCACAGUCUCUCGCGAUUCUGUACUCAGGAGGAACAUCCAACGCCAGAAAAUAAAAGAAUAUUUAGUAGGUAAUACUAAUAUCAAUGAAUAAAAGUC